AACGAACGCUGGCGGCAUGCCUAACACAUGCAAGUCGAACGAGACCUUCGGGUCUAGUGGCGCACGGGUGCGUAACGCGUGGGAACCUGCCCUUAGGUUCGGAAUAACUCCCCGAAAGGGGUGCUAAUACCGGAUAAUGUCUUCGGACCAAAGAUUUAUCGCCUUCGGAUGGGCCCGCGUUGGAUUAGCUAGUUGGUAGGGUAAAAGCCUACCAAGGCGACGAUCCAUAGCUGGUCUGAGAGGAUGAUCAGCCACACUGGGACUGAGACACGGCCCAGACUCCUACGGGAGGCAGCAGUGGGGAAUAUUGGACAAUGGGCGAAAGCCUGAUCCAGCAAUGCCGCGUGAGUGAUGAAGGCCUUAGGGUUGUAAAGCUCUUUUACCCGGGAUGAUAAUGACAGUACCGGGAGAAUAAGCGCCGGCUAACUCCGUG
rnacentral:rRNA from 1 species